UACGGAGGGAGCAAGCGUUACUCGGAAUUAUUGGGCGUAAAGGGCGCGUAGGCGAUUUGAAAAGUCUUGUGUGAAAGCCCCGAGCUUAACUCGGGAAGUGCACAAGAAACUGUUGAAUUUGAGUUCCGGAGAGGAAGGCAGAAUUCCCGGUGUAGCGGUGAAAUGCGUAGAUAUCGGGAGGAAUACCGGUGGCGAAGGCGGCCUUCUGGACGGAUACUGACGCUGAGGCGCGAAAGCCAGGGGAGCAAACGGG
rnacentral:rRNA from 1 species